rnacentral:rRNA from 1 species
UACGAAGGGGGCUAGCGUUGCUCGGAAUCACUGGGCGUAAAGCGCACGUAGGCGGCUUCUUAAGUCAGGGGUGAAAUCCUGGAGCUCAACUCCAGAACUGCCUUUGAUACUGAGAAGCUUGAGUUCGGGAGAGGUGAGUGGAACUGCGAGUGUAGAGGUGAAAUUCGUAGAUAUUCGGAAGAACACCAGUGGCGAAGGCGGCUCACUGGCCCGGUACUGACGCUGAGGUGCGAAAGCGUGGGGAGCAAACAGG